GCAGAGGGGAAAGUCCACGGAGCGGGAGGUCUUGGCUGCACAGGGAGAGCUACCUGUUCUCAGGUGAUGCCGACGCUGCUGGCGAGAGGGGUCUUGCCAGAAUUCAGGCUCCCUUUCCUGUUACUGCUGCUCAGGUGAAUGGGAAGGUGAGGCCAACUCCAAGAUGCCACUGCACAUGCUUCCGAGUCACCUGGGAGCCUCAGAGGCCAGCAUCCACAGGUGCUCACGGAGCUGGCCUGGGUCCUCCAGUGGAACAUGUGUUCUGAGCCUUCUGAGAGCUCCCCGGCCGCAGAGCGCACUGGGGUUGCAAAUUCAACUUCCUGAGGGCCUCGCUCACUCCUUCCCACCAAAAAAAAGGUCCUUCGACUGUGAACCUGAGCUGUAGGCAACGCAACCUUCCCCAUCAAGUUUAAGGAGCAGGUGUCUGAAAGUAGCACCUGCUCUAUACACCCUCGGGAGUUAGAAAUCUCUGUUCGCUCACAUACCCAGCAAAGCACCCCUCACCUCCAGAACUGAGACUGAGUACCUUGAAAUGAAAAGGCAGGCCCGGGUCAGGGGCUGGGGAGCGGGGUUUGCCUGCGAUAGGCCUUCCCCCAGGAGAGAACAGCAGCAAGUCUCUUUCCAGGGCUGGGCCCUGCUUUCCUCACCAGGUGGGGAAUGUUCUUUCAGCCACAAAGG